GUGGCGCAUGUCUAUGAGACACAGUACCCCACUCAGCGAUCCUCUGCGGUCCAGCAAAUUCUAGCACUUGUUUGGAAAACAAAUCAAGUGAAAUAUUCAUGCUUUCAACACGGAAUAGGCCUGACUGUGUUGGUUCCCAGCAUACAAGGAACGAUGCGGACAGAACUGCCUGACACAUACGUCAGUCCACAGAGUUCUUAGAACUGGUUCAAGUCAGCUGUUGAACUAUGCCUGGUCAUCUAUUUACCGUUGUGCCCUCACUUGACAAGACAGGUACAAAUGCAAUAAUUUAAACAGUUCUGAGUUUUAAUUUUCUGAAGGUCAAAAGCAUUGUACUUAAAAAUUUCUUAAAAAUAAAAAGUUAAUUUGAAGUA